rnacentral:rRNA from 1 species
GACGAACGCUGGCGGCGUGCUUAAUACAUGCAAGUCGAACGGAAAGGCCCUGCUCUUGUUGGGUUCUCGUGUGGCGAACGGGUGAGUAACACGCGUGUAUCCUGUACUUGACUUAGGGAUAACUUCAGGAAAAUGGGGCGAAUACCGGAUAGGAGCUCCUGCUGCACGGGGGGGAUAGGAAAGUUUCGGCGGUGGGGGAUGGACUCGCGGCUUAUCAGCUGGAUGGUGUGGUAGUGGAGUACCAAGCCUUUGACGGGUAGCCGGCCUGAGAGGGUGACCGGCCACAUUGGGACUGAGAUACGGACCAGACUCCUACGGGCGGCAGCAGUGGAGAAUAUUGCACAAUGGGCGGAAGCCUGAUGCAGCAACGCCGCGUGCGGGAUGCCGGCCUUCGGGUUGUAAACCGCUUUCGCCGGUGACGAAGCGUGAGUGACGGUAAUGGGUAAAGAAGCAACGGCUAACUACGUG